rnacentral:rRNA from 1 species
UACAGAGGCCUCGAGCGUUAAUCGGAAUCACUGGGCUUAAAGGGUGCGUAGGCGGCGCUGCAAGUGCCUUGUGAAAUCCCAUCGCUUAACGAUGGAACUGCUCGGUAGACUGCAGUGCUUGAGGUUGGUAGGGGCUGCCGGAACUCUAGGUGGAGCGGUGAAAUGCGUAGAUAUCUGGAGGAAUACCGGUGGCGAAGGCGGCAUCCUGGACCAUUACUGACGCUGAGGCGCGAAAGCUAGGGGAGCAAACGGGG